AUUGAACGCCGGCGGCAUGCCUUACACAUGCAAGUCGAACGGUAACAGGUCUUCGGAUGCUGACGAGUGGCGAACGGGUGAGUAAUACAUCGGAACGUGCCUAGUAGUGGGGGAUAACUACUCGAAAGAGUGGCUAAUACCGCAUGAGAUCUACGGAUGAAAGCAGGGGAUCGCAAGACCUUGUGCUACUAGAGCGGCCGAUGGCAGAUUAGGUAGUUGGUAGGGUAAAAGCUUACCAAGCCGACGAUCUGUAGCUGGUCUGAGAGGACGAUCAGCCACACUGGGACUGAGACACGGCCCAGACUCCUACGGGAGGCAGCAGUGGGGAAUUUUGGACAAUGGGCGCAAGCCUGAUCCAGCAAUGCCGCGUGCAGGAUGAAGGCCUUCGGGUUGUAAACUGCUUUUGUACGGAACGAAAAGCCCUGGGUUAAUACCCUGGGGUCAUGACGGUACCGUAAGAAUAAGCACCGGCUAACUACGUGCCAGCAGCCGCCGUAAAAC
rnacentral:rRNA from 1 species